GGGGCCCGGGGGGCCUACGGGAGGCAGCAGUGGGGAAUAUUGCUCAUUGGGGCGCAAGCCUGAUGCAGCGACGCCGCGUGAAGGAAGAAGGUCUUCGGAUUGUAAACUUCUAUCAGCAGGGAAGAAAAAAAUGACGGUACCUGACUAAGAAGCUCCGGCUAACUACGUGCCAGCAGCCGCGGUAAAA
rnacentral:rRNA from 1 species